AGGGUGUGCUCAGAGCAGGUGACCUGAAGAACAGUUCCUCAGUUUACAGCACACCCAACAGGAAUCCAGGGUCCACGUGACAAGGAACACUAAACCUGUGACUUCCCUUCAAGUGAAUGUCCUGCAUGU
ensembl:snoRNA